rnacentral:rRNA from 1 species
GACAGAGGAUGCAAGCGUUAUCCGGAAUGAUUGGGCGUAAAGCGUCUGUAGGUGGCUUUUCAAGUCCGCCGUCAAAUCCCAGGGCUCAACCCUGGACAGGCGGUGGAAACCACCUAGCUAGAGUCCGGAAGAGGAGAACGGAAUUCCCAGUGUAGCGGUGAAAUGCGCAGAUAUUGGGAAGAACACCAGUGGCGAAGGCGGUUCUCUGGGACGGUACUGACGCUGAGACGCGAAAGCGU